rnacentral:rRNA from 1 species
GGUUAAGCGACUAAGCGUACACGGUGGAUGCCCUGGCAGUCAGAGGCGAUGAAGGACGUGCUAAUCUGCGAUAAGCGUCGGUAAGGUGAUAUGAACCGUUAUAACCGGCGAUUUCCGAAUGGGGAAACCCAGUGUGUUUCGACACACUAUCAUUAACUGAAUCCAUAGGUUAAUGAGGCGAACCGGGGGAACUGAAACAUCUAAGUACCCCGAGGAAAAGAAAUCAACCGAGAUUCCCCCAGUAGCGGCGAGCGAACGGGGAGCAGCCCAGAGCCUGAAUCAGUGUGUGUGUUAGUGGAAGCGUCUGGAAAGGCGCGCGAUACAGGGUGACAGCCCCGUACACAAAAAUGCACAUACUGUGAGCUCGAUGAGUAGGGCGGGACACGUGGUAUCCUGUCUGAAUAUGGGGGGACCAUCCUCCAAGGCUAAAUACUCCUGACUGACCGAUAGUGAACCAGUACCGUGAGGGAAAGGCGAAAAGAACCCCGGCGAGGGGAGUGAAAAAGAACCUGAAACCGUGUACGUACAAGCAGUGGGAGCCUCUUUAUGGGGUGACUGCGUACCUUUUGUAUAAUGGGUCAGCGACUUAUAUUCUGUAGCAAGGUUAACCGAAUAGGGGAGCCGAAGGGAAACCGAGUCUUAACUGGGCGUUAAGUUGCAGGGUAUAGACCCGAAACCCGGUGAUCUAGCCAUGGGCAGGUUGAAGGUUGGGUAACACUAACUGGAGGACCGAACCGACUAAUGUUGAAAAAUUAGCGGAUGACUUGUGGCUGGGGGUGAAAGGCCAAUCAAACCGGGAGAUAGCUGGUUCUCCCCGAAAGCUAUUUAGGUAGCGCCUCGUGAAUUCAUCUCCGGGGGUAGAGCACUGUUUCGGCAAGGGGGUCAUCCCGACUUACCAACCCGAUGCAAACUGCGAAUACCGGAGAAUGUUAUCACGGGAGACACACGGCGGGUGCUAACGUCCGUCGUGAAGAGGGAAACAACCCAGACCGCCAGCUAAGGUCCCAAAGUCAUGGUUAAGUGGGAAACGAUGUGGGAAGGCCCAGACAGCCAGGAUGUUGGCUUAGAAGCAGCCAUCAUUUAAAGAAAGCGUAAUAGCUCACUGGUCGAGUCGGCCUGCGCGGAAGAUGUAACGGGGCUAAACCAUGCACCGAAGCUGCGGCAGCGACACUAUGUGUUGUUGGGUAGGGGAGCGUUCUGUAAGCCUGUGAAGGUGUGCUGUGAGGUAUGCUGGAGGUAUCAGAAGUGCGAAUGCUGACAUAAGUAACGAUAAAGCGGGUGAAAAGCCCGCUCGCCGGAAGACCAAGGGUUCCUGUCCAACGUUAAUCGGGGCAGGGUGAGUCGACCCCUAAGGCGAGGCCGAAAGGCGUAGUCGAUGGGAAACAGGUUAAUAUUCCUGUACUUGGUGUUACUGCGAAGGGGGGACGGAGAAGGCUAUGUUGGCCGGGCGACGGUUGUCCCGGUUUAAGCGUGUAGGCUGGUUUUCCAGGCAAAUCCGGAAAAUCAAGGCUGAGGCGUGAUGACGAGGCACUACGGUGCUGAAGCAACAAAUGCCCUGCUUCCAGGAAAAGCCUCUAAGCAUCAGGUAACAUCAAAUCGUACCCCAAACCGACACAGGUGGUCAGGUAGAGAAUACCAAGGCGCUUGAGAGAACUCGGGUGAAGGAACUAGGCAAAAUGGUGCCGUAACUUCGGGAGAAGGCACGCUGAUAUGUAGGUGAAGUCCCUUGCGGAUGGAGCUGAAAUCAGUCGAAGAUACCAGCUGGCUGCAACUGUUUAUUAAAAACACAGCACUGUGCAAACACGAAAGUGGACGUAUACGGUGUGACGCCUGCCCGGUGCCGGAAGGUUAAUUGAUGGGGUUAGCGGUAACGCGAAGCUCUUGAUCGAAGCCCCGGUAAACGGCGGCCGUAACUAUAACGGUCCUAAGGUAGCGAAAUUCCUUGUCGGGUAAGUUCCGACCUGCACGAAUGGCGUAAUGAUGGCCAGGCUGUCUCCACCCGAGACUCAGUGAAAUUGAACUCGCUGUGAAGAUGCAGUGUACCCGCGGCAAGACGGAAAGACCCCGUGAACCUUUACUAUAGCUUGACACUGAACAUUGAGCCUUGAUGUGUAGGAUAGGUGGGAGGCUUUGAAGUGUGGACGCCAGUCUGCAUGGAGCCGACCUUGAAAUACCACCCUUUAAUGUUUGAUGUUCUAACGUUGGCCCCUAAUCGGGGUUGCGGACAGUGUCUGGUGGGUAGUUUGACUGGGGCGGUCUCCUCCUAAAGAGUAACGGAGGAGCACGAAGGUUGGCUAAUCCUGGUCGGACAUCAGGAGGUUAGUGCAAUGGCAUAAGCCAGCUUGACUGCGAGCGUGACGGCGCGAGCAGGUGCGAAAGCAGGUCAUAGUGAUCCGGUGGUUCUGAAUGGAAGGGCCAUCGCUCAACGGAUAAAAGGUACUCCGGGGAUAACAGGCUGAUACCGCCCAAGAGUUCAUAUCGACGGCGGUGUUUGGCACCUCGAUGUCGGCUCAUCACAUCCUGGGGCUGAAGUAGGUCCCAAGGGUAUGGCUGUUCGCCAUUUAAAGUGGUACGCGAGCUGGGUUUAGAACGUCGUGAGACAGUUCGGUCCCUAUCUGCCGUGGGCGCUGGAGAACUGAGGGGGGCUGCUCCUAGUACGAGAGGACCGGAGUGGACGCAUCACUGGUGUUCGGGUUGUCAUGCCAAUGGCACUGCCCGGUAGCUAAAUGCGGAAGAGAUAAGUGCUGAAAGCAUCUAAGCACGAAACUUGCCCCGAGAUGAGUUCUCCCUGACUCCUUGAGAGUCCUGAAGGAACGUUGAAGACGACGACGUUGAUAGGCCGGGUGUGUAAGCGCAGCGAUGCGUUGAGCUAACCGGUACUAAUGAACCGUGAGGCUUAACCUU